rnacentral:SRP_RNA from 1 species
GCCCGGUGCAGUGGCACGUGCCUGUAGUCCCAGCUACUCAGGAGGCUGAGGCUGGGGGAUCACUUGAGCCCAGGAGUUCUGGGCUGUAGUGCGAUAUGCUGAUCAGGUGUCCGCACUAAGUUCAGCAUCAAUAUGGUGACCUCCCUGGAGCAGGGGACCACCAGGGUGCCUAAGGAGGGGUGAACUAGCCCAGGUCAGAAACCGAGUAGGUCAAAACUCCUGUGCUGAUCAGUAGUGGGAUUGCACCUGUGAAUAGCCACUGCACUGCAGCCUGGGCAACAUAGUGAGACCCCAUCUCU